AUGAACCUUGUGGCUAGGAACAAAACCCCCAGCUGGAGCAGGCACUUUCACUUUUCACUUAAGUCAUUAGAGGUCUGGCUGUAUACCAGUGAGGAGGCAAGGAUUGCCAUGAUACUCUCCCCAUUUGGGCUUCUUAGUUCCCUGGUGAGCUGUCCAUCUGGGCACUUGGCCUGGCAAGUGUCAGACUACAGCAACAACAGUCUCCACAUCAUCAUCAUCAUCAACAUCAUCAAAACUAGAAUUUAUAUAGCAUCUACUAUGUACCAAUCAAUACUUAAAGAAAUUAAUUCAGACUAUUCACUGGAAGGUCAAAUACUGAAGCUGAAGCCUAAAUUCUCUGGCCACAUAAUAAGAAUAUAGGUCUCAGGACUCACUGGAAAUGACCCUGAUAUUGAGAAAGACUGAAGACAAAAGGAGAAGGGAACAGCAGAGGAUGAGAUGGAGAGAUGGUGUCCUGGAAACAAUGAGCAAGAACUUGGACAGUCUUCAAGAGAAAGUGAAGAACAGCACCUGGCAUGUGUAUUUUCAUAAAAUCCAAGAUUUAAAUUUUGUUCGAGAUAGAUCUUCAGAGAAGAAGCUUGCUAACUAACUGAAUCCAGAGAAUGAACUAUUUGCAGAAAGAUACCUAAACCCUUACACUACAUGAAGAUCCAGAAUGAACCUUGGGGUGUGGUUGAUUGAACUAAAGGUUGAUUGAACAUUUAUUUUGAAUGUACACUCUUAAGCCAAAGGGGACUGCCCCCUAAUUGGUUUUUGUCAUUUGUGCCCAGCAAAACAUUGGUUUUGCUGCCUCUCUCUCUCUCCUCUAUUUCCCCUUGUCUACAACUAUUGUAGUUUUCCUCUUAGAGGGUAAAAUUUUGUAUACACCUACAGUUAAAAUUUUUUGGGGUGCAGGACACUUAUGUUUAGUGAUCAAUUGGGGAGACGAGUCCCCCAAUCAUCAUCAGGGGGAGUGAUUUUUAAAUUUCCUCCAUCUUGCUUUGUCUAGCACCCAAAAAUGUCCACACCCACACUAUGUGGGCAUGUGCUAGUUAAUGACAAAUCAAAAAUAACUAACUGCCCUCCUGGGCUGUCCUAAGCCAAGCUUGAGCCACCAUUGGCACGUGUGAGGCACAGGAAUUAAGGUAGAGAACAGCCUCUGGAGUUCUCUCACUUCCUGUGGAGAGGGCUAGAGACCAGUUUGUUCCUGGAGUUCGAGUUGGGAGGAGCCCCGCAGGCUCCUUGCCUUCAGAUCAGUCACGUGAGUGUAAGGACUGAUUCCCUUCCCUGCCUUAGCCCUCCAAGGCCUAAAACUCCCUCUGGCUCUGCCAGAAGGUUGAGUUAACCUCUUUCCUUCUCCCCUUCUUUCCUUCUCUCCCUC
rnacentral:lncRNA from 1 species